AGUGAACGUUGGCGGCGUGGAUUAGGCAUGCGAGUCGAGCGAGAACCGUAGCAAUACGGGGACAGCGGCGAAAGGGACAGUAAUAUGUAGGUACCUACCCUCGGGUCCGGGAUAGCUGCGGGAAACUGCAGGUAAUACCGGAUGACAUCUCCGGAUCAAAGGUGUGAUUCCGCCCGGUGAGGGGCCUGCAUCCUAUUAGCUAGUUGGCGGGGUAACGGCCCACCAAGGCGACGAUGGGUAGCGGGUGUGAGAGCACGACCCGCGUCAUUGGGACUGAGACACUGCCCAGACACCUACGGGUGGCUGCAGUCGAGAAUCUUCGGCAAUGGGGGAAGCCCUGACCGAGCGACGCCGCGUGCGGGAUGAAGGCCUUCGGGUUGUAAACCGCUGUCGUAGAGGAGGAAAUGCAGUGGGGUUCUCCCCUCUGUUUGACCUAGUCUAGGAGGAAGGACGGGCUAAGUUCGUGCCAGCCGCCGCAGUAA
rnacentral:rRNA from 1 species